AACGAACGCUGGCGGCAGGCCUAACACAUGCAAGUCGAGCGGACGCUUCGGGGUUAGCGGCGGGCGGGUGAGUGAAGCGUGGGAACGUGCCUUUUGCUUCGGAGGAGCCCUGGGGAACUGGGAGUAAUACCGGGUACGCCCUUUUGGGGAAAGAUUUUUCGGCGGAGGAUCGGCCCGCGUUGGAUUAGGUAGUUGGUGGGGUAAUGGCCUACCAAGCCGACGUUCCAUAGCUGGUUUGAGAGGAUGAUCAGCCACACUGGGACUGAGACACGGCCCAGACUCCUACGGGAGGCAGCAGUGGGGAAUCUUAGACAAUGGGGGAAACCCUGAUCUAGCCAUGCCGCGUGAGCGAUGAAGGCCUUAGGGUUGUAAAGCUCUUUCACCGGGGAAGAUAAUGACGGUACCCGGAGAAGAAGCCCCGGCUAACUCCGUG
rnacentral:rRNA from 1 species